rnacentral:rRNA from 1 species
UUGGAGGGCAAGUCUGGUGCCAGCAGCCGCGGUAAUUCCAGCUCCAAUAGCGUAUAUUAAAGUUGCUGCAGUUAAAAAGCUCGUAGUUGAAUUUCGGGACCAAUAUGUCGGUCGUGCCUCGGUACGUACUGGCAUCGUUGGUUUCUCCCUUCUGACGAACCAUGAUGUCAUUUAUUUGGUGUCGUGGGGAAUCAGGACUGUUACUUUGAAAAAAUUAGAGUGUUUAAAGCAGGCUCACGCUUGAAUACAUUAGCAUGGAAUAAUGAAAUAGGACGUUUGAUUCUAUUUUGUUGGUUUCUAGGAUCGACGUAAUGAUUAAUAGGGAUAGUCGGGGGCAUUAGUAUUCAAUUGUCAGAGGUGAAAUUCUUGGAUUUAUUGAAGACUAACUACUGCGAAAGCAUUUGCCAAGGAUGUUUUCAUUAAUCAAGAACGAAAGUUAGGGGAUCGAAGACGAUCAGAUACCGUCGUAGUCUUAACCAUAAACUAUGCCGACUAGGGAUCGGAUGAUGUUAAUUUUUUAAUGACUCAUUCGGCACCUUACGGGAAAC